AGCGAACGCUGGCGGCAGGCCUAACACAUGCAAGUCGAACGAACCUUUCGGGGUUAGUGGCGGACGGGUGAGUAACACGUCGGAACGUGCCUUUAUGCUCGGAAUACCUCUGUGACACUUGUGCUAAUACCGAAUGUGCCCUUCUGGGGAAAGAUUUAUCGUCUUUAGAGCGGCCCGCGUCGGAUUAGCUAGUUGGUUGAGGUAAUGGCUCACCAAGGGUACGAUCAGUAGAUGGUCUGGGAGGAUGAUCAGCCACAUUGGUACUAGGACACGGCCCAAAAUCCUACGGGAGGCGGGAGUGGGGAAUCUUGCGCAAUGGGCGAAAGGAUGAAGGAGCCAUGCCGGGUGAAUGAUGAAGGUCGGAGGAAAGAAAAAUUCUUUAAUCGGGGACGAUAAUGACGGUACCCGGAGAAGAAGCCCCGGCUAACUUCGUG
rnacentral:rRNA from 1 species